UCCUUGGCGGUCCAGUGGUUAGGACUCAGCACUUUCACUACUGUGGCCCCAGGUUCAAUCCCUGGUCCAGGAA